rfam:Bacillus licheniformis ATCC 14580, complete genome.
AAGCACAGCGGCAGCAAAUAAGCCGCGGGCGGUGGUGUC